GGGGAAUUUCGACAACAGUAUACGUCGACACGAUGUUGAAAAUGCUAGCUGAGAGAAUCGUGAAUAUUUAUAACAAGAUGAAAGAACGAAAAAAUAUAUACUUACUUCAUUACGACCUGAUGACGAAGCCAGCUCUGGAUGAGCGCAAGUUGACCGCAGAGAUUUAGAACCAAAAGAGUCACAGCCAUGUCUGAAGCAGCUACGAACAUCAUUCCAAGGUAUCCGCUGAUGAUCUGAAGUGCGUAUUUGAUCUCGUACUGCGGGCUUGGCGUGACACUUUCUUCAAAUCCGAAGGGGUAGUGGCUGAUCGUUGAAUUCGGGGCUAACGAUAGCUGUUUCACUACCGAAGUCAAGAUGAACAGGGUCGACGAAACCUGUGUAGCCCAGAAGUAAAUAGUGCAGAAAAAUCUCGCCCGUUCAGCCCAGGUCAAAAUUAAUUCGUCGUCUUCCGCAACAGACUCGUCCCACAACUUUUUGGCAAUGGUAAACAGUCGGAUGAUCUUGCGGCGAUGAAUGGAUAUGAGAAUUGACCUCAAUUGUCCGCCUGAAACGGUGAUCACGACUAUCACGGCUUCGAGCAAUUCGUCCAUGUUGUCACUCUGCGUCAGGAAAAGCUGAACUGAAUUACCUGUUCUUUGCUCACCUUAAAGAGAAUGUAAUUCAGUGGUUGUAUCAGUACAUAUGAGCCAUACAUCAGUGGAGAGGCUACAAGAACUUCGGAGAGAAUUGAUUUCCAC